UAGUGUUACAGCUCUUUUAGAAUUUGUCUAACGGGGGGACCAGCAGUUAGCGUAAUGGCUAUGUCGCUGGACACCCAC
rnacentral:snRNA from 1 species